AAAAAAAAUCAUGGGUCACCGGUUGGUAACUUGUCGGAAUCAAAAUAUUUUAAGUAGCCUUACCUAAACAAUGGCCCGGAUGUAUUUCCAUCUUUUAUAAAAUAUAUUAAAAAAGUACCGCAGCACAACCCCAAUAAAGGAAGGUUCAGAGCACCUACAGGUCUGGUGGAAAGGGGGAGAGCAUUUCCGCUGAAUCAAUUUGUUUGCGAUUCAUCAACCCUUCUUACAAAUCAAUUGGAGAGACCUUUGCAGUCGGGAGUAAUGGCUGAGGUACUUCUCUCACCGUUUCUACAGAUGGUGAUGGAGAAGGCAGCCGACCAUCUUCUCCAACAAUUUACAGUGAUAUGGGGCAUCGAAGAGAAGCUGGAGAAGCUGGAAAGAAUGCUGUUAGCAAUCCAAGACGUAGUUGGAGAUGCAGAGCAGCGGCAAAUCAAGGAAGCGGGUGUGAAGAGCUGGUUGGCAGGACUGAAGAAUGCAGCCUACGAAGCAGACGACAUACUGGAUGAAUUCAAACUAGAAGCAAUGCGGCGGAAGGUGGAGAUUCAGGUCGACAUGAGGAAAAAGGUGCGCAGCUUCUUUUCCUUUCAUAAUCCCGUUUCGUUUCGUUUUAAGAUGGGGAAAAAUUUGAAAGAUAUUGUUGAGAAAAUAGAAGAGAUCGCAAAUGAGAGAAAUAUAUUUCAUUUCAAGGUCAAAACACAACCACAAAAUAAGCCCCAAACCCAUUCCUAUGUUGUUGAGUCAGAUGUCGUUGGUAGGGAGAAAGAAAAAGAAAAAAUAGUGAAGUUGUUACUGGAUCAUGAUACCAACCACAAUGUUGCAGUCUUUCCCAUAGUUGGCAUGGGGGGGCUGGGUAAGACCACACUUGCCAAAUUGAUUUACAAAGAUGAGGAUGUGAAGAAGCAUUUCCAGCCGCUCGUAUGGGUCUGUGCGUCGGAUGAGUUCGAUGUUGCAAAGCUUGUUAAAGCAAUAAUAGCUUCAGCUAGAGCGACCCAGUGUCAGGAAUCAAACAUGGAGUUGUCUAAAGUAAAAAUGGCUUCAGGCAGAGGGACUGAGGGUCAGGAAUCUAACAUGGAAUCGUUACAACUGGGACUUCGAGAAGUUAUAGGUGGGAAAAGGUACUUACUUGUAUUAGAUGAUGUUUGGAACGAGGAUCAGGUAAAGUGGGAUGAGUUGAAAGCUUUACUUGGAACUGGUGGAGAAGGGAGUAGGAUCAUUGUGACUGCACGAAGUGAACAGGUAUCACGGAUAAUGGGCGCACGUGAAGCUUAUCGUUUGGACUUUUUGAGUGAGAAUGAUUCUUGGGAAUUGUUUACGAAGAGAGCAAAUCCGCCUCAACAUCUGGAAAGCAUUGGCAAAGAGAUUGUCAAGAAAUGCGGUGGGUUGCCACUAGCAGUGAAGACAUUGGGGAGCUUAAUGCAGUCCAAGAGUCAGAAAAGUGAAUGGUUGUCCGUGAGGAAUAGCAAGAUUUGGGACAUGCAGGUUGGUGAAGAUGGGAUCUUACCAGCACUAAGGUUGAGCUACAGUCAUUUGCCUUCCCAUUUAAAACAAUGCUUUGCUUUUUGUGCCAUAUUUCCAAAGGAUUAUCAGAUGCAAAAGGAUCUGUUGAUUCAACUAUGGAUGGCCAAUGGAUUCAUUCCAUCUGGUGGAAGUAAGGAGUUGGAGGUCAAGGGUCAUGAGAUUUUUAAUGAGUUGGCUUCGAGAUCGUUUUUUCAGGAUAUCAAGGAAGUAACCGAGGACGAUGGUUACGAGGGCAGGCAUCAACCUUAUUGCAUAACAACAUGCAAGAUGCAUGACCUCAUGCAUGACCUGGCACAAUCCAUUAUGGGGAAUGAAUGCCUUAGCAUGGUGGACCCUGCCAUGUUGGAAGCUGCAUCUAGGAAAACCCGUCACUUGGGUUCAUUUCAGUAUUUCCAGUCUAACAUUCAUAAGAUCCCCUUGAAUAAUUAUCCAAAUAUUCGCACUCUCGUGUGCCAGGCAACAGUGACAGCGGAUUCAUCAAAGCCUAGGUCAUUGAGAGCAUUGGGUUUACAUGGUUAUAAUAUCAGACGAUUGCCUAUUUCAAUUAGAUUUCUGAAACACUUGAGAUACCUGGACCUCUCUCGCACUCGUAUAGAAGCAUUACCUGAUGCCACCAGUACCCUUUUCAAUCUACAAACUCUGAAACUCUCUAAUUGCUGGAAACUACGUAAGCUGCCUGAAGACAUGAGAAAUAUGAGUAGCCUGAGGCAUCUCUACAUUGACAGCUGUCAUCGUCUCAAGCACCUGCCAGCAGGUAUAGGGCAAUUAAGCAGUCUGCGAACAUUGACGAAAUACAUUGUUGGCAAUGAUGAUGGAAGGCGUAUAGGUGAGUUGAAUAGCUUAGAUCUCGGUGGCUUUCUAGAGCUGUAUGACCUGGGGAAUGUGAGGGAUGCAGCAGAUGCUAAAUAUGCUAAUCUCAGUUCCAAACAUAACCUUCGCUCAUUAAUAUUAUGCUGGGAUAUGAUUACAUGGGAUGUCCCUCAUUGUUACGGCAAAAAUGGCCUUUAUAAUUGUAAAGAUGUUUUGCCAGCCAAAAAUGCUGAAGAGGUGUUGGAAGCCCUUAGACCUUCUGUUGGCUUAAAGCUGCUGGCAAUAUGGCGCUAUGGGGGAGACAGAUUUCCAAAGUGGAUGAUGGACUUUAUGUUGCGGCAAUUAGUUGAAAUCCAUCUUGGAGUUUGCACAGGUUGCGAACAUCUCCCCCCUUUAUGGCAGCUACCCUUACUUAAAUUUCUCUACUUGUUUAAGAUGGAUAGCCUCAAGCACAUUUGCAACAGCACCAUCUACGGCAAUGCAAGUAAUGGUGCAGUGCAAGCAUUCCCCAAACUGCAGAGACUGGUGUUGCACACAAUGCAGAGCUUGAAGGAGUGGUCAAAGGAUGAAAAAACUGCACAGGUCAUGCUGGUUUUGCCUCACCUUGCUGAGCUUAAGAUCAUUAAUUGCCCAAAUUUGGUGACCAUACCAGAGCUACCAUCUCUCAAAAGUUUAGAAAUGAAAGGAACUAAUAAGCAGUUGGGCUGGGUUGGUCGUCUGACCACACUAUCUUCCCUUGACAUCGAACUCAAUAAAACGAGCAAUGGUACAGAGUCGCCUCCUCUUGCUCAAAAAGAAAUAUCUUUCAGGGAUUUUAGAUUUCUUGAAAAUUUAACUAUCACGGCAUCUGAUGAUCUGGCGCCAUUGCUGAAGGAGGAGAAGACGAAAGUGCUGAGCUCAUCCCUGCAUCGUUUGGAAUUUACAAGAUGCAAUUGGUUGUUUUCAUCAUCGCAGCAGGCAUCGUCACCUUUGGGGCUUUGGAAGAACCUAACUUCUCUCCGAUCUUUGAGAAUCCAAUAUUGUGAUGAUCUAGUCUACUGGCCGGAGGAGGAAUUCCAUGGCUUGAACUCACUGAAGACAUUAACCAUCCGGUAUUGCAAUAACUUGUUGGGCCCAUUAUCCUCGUCAUCAUCAGGGGAUGGAGAGCUCCUACCAAACCUGGAAGAGCUGACAAUUGGAUAUUGCAAUGGUCUGCUGGAAUUGCCCAAGUUGCCUGCUUCCCUCAGAUCUUUGCGGGUUAACGGCUGCCCCAAAAUGGCCAUGAUGGAAGGCCUGCGACAUGCCACCGCUCUCGACAACUUGAGCAUUUGUGAUUGUUCAAGCCUGACGUCUCUGCCGUUAGAGCUCACACACCUCAACGUACUCACAAGUUUAUGUCUCUGGAAUCUUUUCGGGCUGACAUGCUUGCCGCAAGGGUUUGGGCAGCUCACCGCACUAAAGUCUCUGGACAUCGACAAUUGCAGCAAUUUGUCAUCUCUGCCGGAAGGGAUGCAAGGCCUCACGGCACUUCAGGAUCUGGAUCUCACGUUUCUUCCUAGGCUGACAUGUUUGCCGCAAGGGUUUGGGCAGCUCACCGCACUCAAAUCUCUGGAUAUCAGCGAUUGCAGCAAUUUGUCAUAUCUGGCGGAAGGGAUGCAGGGCCUCACGGCACUUCAGUAUCUGUCUAUUCGUCGAUGCCCUCAGCUAUCAUCACUUCCGGAAGGUCUCCGACAACAACUCCCCGACCUUCAACAUCUGUUCGUCGGAGAAUGCCCCAUCCUAGAGAAACAGUACAGGAGAGGAGGACCGUAUUGGUACCUGGUCUCACGCAUCCCCAAUAUAGAAAUAGUAUCUGAGACGAGGAGCAACUUCAGCACAUUGUUUCCUUCCUUUUCUUGCUUUAGAAGACCAUCUACUUUUUAAUGUCAUUCCAGGAAUCUGGAUGCGAGUUUAAAACUACCAUGUACCAAUUGAUGAUUCUCGCAAGUAUUCUUUUGAGAUCGGAGAUAUAUCAGAUGAACAACAAAUUCGCUUCAAGAUGGAUAAAGAGCGUCCAUGACGCAAGCAGCUUUCUUAUUAAUCAUUUCAGCAACUUCUUGCAGUUGUCUUGGAUAAACUUUUCAAAGAUUUGCAAAUCUUCAUUGGUCAAGUGGCUUCAUGUGAAUCUUGUCGAUAGAUUUGUUUUGGUUGUUGUUAAGCAUUUAAAGGGACAGGAGGAAGAGAGAAGCUUAAUUCUCUUUAAAUAGAAGUCGUUUGUCAUUUAAUGUUGUGUUGACUAUUUUCUCUGAACCUUAUUUUAUUUGACAUCCUUCGACAUAUAAAUAUUGCAUUUGAAGUCUUUGAAUGGUAUUUUUGCUUUAUGUACCAAAAAUAAU